ensembl:lncRNA
AUGUUCUUUUAAAAAUUUAAGUGUUUUAUAUUUUUUUGAAAUAAUAUAUGAAUCAUUCAUACGAAAAAAAUACAUUUUAAAACAUAGAAAAACAUCAAAAAAAAAAAAAAAAAAAAAAAUCAAACACUUAUUCAUAGACAUCAUUUAAGAAAUAUAAAUUUCUUAAAUACCAUUAAAUAAUGAAAAAAAAUUAAUUUAAACCUGUGUCCUUCCACUUGUUUGCAUUUAUUUUUUUUUGAUUUUUUUUUUUUUUUAGUUUUUUUUUUUUACUCUCUACUUUUUACUUUUUUUUUUUUUUUUUCCUUUGCUUAUAAGAAGCGAAGUUUUUUUUUUUUUUUUUGUCCACAAACGAUUUGAUUAUAUUUAUACUACCCCCUACUAUAGUAUAUUACUUUUUCGUUUCAAUGACAUGUUAUUAACUUUAGUCUACUAAUUAUUUUGUGGAUACAUGACAAGUAUAUAAGAGCUAUAUUAUCAUAUAAAACAGAUUUUAAAAAAUCCAUUUAACAUAUAUUUUUUUGGAAAAUAUAAAUAUAUAUAUAAUAUAUAUGUAGUAUUAGUAAUCAUGUGGAAUUUUUUGAAUUAUGAAAAUCAAGAUAUAAAUGCAAAAACUGACACAAACAUUGACAUAGAUGCUCAUACAAAUGUUAAUAGCACUGUACAAGUAGAUGAAAGCAAUCAAGGAAUAUAUGAUAAGGUACAUUAUCUUACAUAUGAAUAUGAACAAAUGUACAUAUGGCUAAAACAUGCAUGUGACUAUACAUGGCAGCAGUUUUAUUUGAUUGUACGUAUAUAUUUAUAUACAUAUAUAAUGCAUGUAAUUUUUAUUUUUUUUUUUUGUAGGUAAUCAACAACAAUUUUACUUUUUGGAAUAUCUUGGGAUAUGAAGGAAAAAAAUGAAGGUAAUGUAACAGCAGAGAAUGAUAAUAAUUUAAAAAUCAAAUUAAAUGGAGAACCAGUCUUAAAUGGUAAAGAUCAAAUUGGCAAUCUUAAUGAUUCAGUGAGUAAAACAAAUGCUGUUUUAAAUAACGAUAAAAAUAAUGAAAGCUUAAAAAAAAAAAAAAAUAGAAAAAAAAUACUCAAAAAAAAAUACUCAAAAAAUGAAAAUACAGAUCAAUCUCCUUUUCUUAGUGACAUUAGUUCAUAUGCAGACUAUUAUACUAGCGACGAGAGUAGAAUAAAUAAUUACAAUGAAAUCAUAAAAGAAGAAAGAGACGUAAAUAAAGAGAAAAAUCACGGUGUUCAUUUUCUGGAAGAAGAAAUGGCACCAAAAAAAAAUGAAUAUGACAAUAAUGAAAUUGUAGAUGAAUAUGCCGAAGGUGAUGUUGUAGAUAAAAAUAAUGCAUAUGAUGCAAAUGUCGAGGUAGAAAUGACAGAAAAUAAUAUAGAAUAUUACAAUACAGAUUGUAACAAACAAAGUGACGAAUCAAUAGAAAAAGAUAAAACUACAGAAGCUGAAAACACAGGAAAUGAUUGGCUAUUUCUUAAAAUUAAAGAAAUCAUAAGUCCAGCAAUAACACAAGAAGAUAUAAAAGAAAUGAUAAGACAAAAAUAUAACAGUAUUAGUGAUACAAAUUUAGGGGUUUUUAAUUUAUUAGAAAACAUGAUACAUAGUUAUGACCAUGAUAAAACCACAGAAAUAAGCAAAAAACUAAGCAGCAGCUUUGGUUUUACUUAUAAUUCUAUGGAGUGGUCAAAAUGUGAUAUUUAUAAUUUAAUUAGUUAUUCUAUUUAUUGUAUAAAUAAAGAACUAUCAGCAAAUAUUGAAUUAGAAGCUAUAAAAAUGAUGAAUAUAUAUAACCGAGCAUUAAAUAAUUAUAAAAAAGAUAUUUGCUAUAAAGAUGACUUAUAUAAUGAUUUAGUUAAUGAAGGGGAAGAAAACUUUACAUUGAUUGUUAAUAAAAAAAAUAAACUUUCAAAAAAAGUUCCUAAAAUCGACCUUUUAUGCUUAAUGAAUAUCAAUAGUGACAAUUAUAUUAACAUAAUAGAAUGUCAAAAUGUACAGACACCAAAAUUGAACUUAGAUGAAAUUUUUAAAAUUAAUGUUCACUAAAAGGUGCUCGUUUUAAUAGUCAAAAAAAAAAAAAAAAAAAAAGGGCUUGGAAAAAGAAAAAAAAAAAAAAAAAAAAAAAAAAAAAAAAGUGAUUGAAAAUUGGACAAGCAAAACCAUUUAUAUUUAAUAUCAUAUUAUAGUUAUUACCAUAAGUUUUACUUUACUCUCCCUCUCUUAUUCAAUUCCGCUUUAUAAAAAAAGAAAAAAAAGAAAAAAAAAAAUAUAUUUAUAUUUUUUUAAGUGUACAUAUCACUUUUUUUUAUUUUUAUGUCAGAACUUAAAUUUUUAACUCAUUGUGAAAUUCAAAUGUUUAAACAGACUUUUUAAAAAUUAUAAAAAUAUGCAUAUCUACACGUUCAUGUUUGGAUAUGCAUAUAUCUAUUUAUUUACUUCAUUUAUUUUAUUUUUACUUUUUUUUUUUUUUGUCAUUCCGGAUUAAUAUUUUAAUUAUUUUUUUUUAUUUUUUCAUGUACAGGCAUAAACCUGCACGUGCUUACAUAUAUAUAUAAUCAUACAUUAUUUUACUUUUUUUAAUUAUUAAUUUAUUAUAUGUCAUUAUAAAACAACACAAAAAAAAAAAAAAAGACUAAGCAAAGAAAAGCUAAAAGUAAUUGAUUUUAUUUUUUAUAAGCCGAA